ensembl:snRNA Gm55087 predicted gene, 23066
CCCUCCAGAGAGGGUUAGCAUGGCCCCUAAGCAAAAAUGACAUACAAACUGAAGAUUAGUCCCAAAUUUAG